CCUACGGGACGCAGCAGUCGGGAAUAUUGCGCAAUGGAGGAAACUCUGACGCAGUGACGCCGCGUGCAGGAAGAAGGUUUUCGGAUUGUAAACUGCUUUAGCCAGGGAAGAUAAUGACAGUACCUGUAGAAUAAGCUCCGGCUAACUACGUGCCAGCAGCAGCGGUAAUACGUAGGGAGCAAGCGUUAUCCGGAUUUAUUGGGUGUAAAGGGUGCGUAGACGGGAAUGCAAGUUAGUUGUGAAAUCCCUCUGCUUAACUGAGGAACUGCAACGAAAACUACAUUUCUUGAGUGCUGGAGAGGAAA
rnacentral:rRNA from 1 species